UUUGGAUUAAUUCUGAUAUAAUAACUGUUGGUUUAUUUAUCGGUGGAGCAGUAGAACAUUUUCCACAGACAGUUUUCCUGCCCGUUGGCUUGUUUUAACCAGUUUUCUACCUUCGGCUGAUUCUACCAGCAGACACUGAAAGGACUCUAAUAGUUCAAGUGAAAGUAGCAGUUCCUCCUUAAGGUCAGAGAUUGCAGCAUCUGAGGGCCUCUUCAAAAGAAGACGUAGUUGAUGAAGACGUUCUGGAGCAGGACCAGAAAGACCACGACCAAGCAGCCUUGAGAUCUUAGGCAGCGUCUCCCUCAGGUCCCUCUCUAUCUCCCCACACAUCCACCAACCACUGGAACACAUCUCCAAAGUUCUGCCGGACCAGCUCAGCUUCCGCUCAGAAGAAGUGCUGCCACCUGCCAGAUGAAGGAGCCUUUUGAGAGGCAGCUGGCAUCGUGAUUGGACUGUACUUUGGUCUGUUCCAAUCCAGCUUCAGCUCCAGAGACGGCAGGCGGGACGAGUCAACGGAGGCCGGGUGGACGAAGGCAUGCAGCUGAGUAUUCGAGUUUUUGACAUAGCAUACUAUGGCGUUUUUUUGCACCAAAAUUCAUGAUGAUUUUUUUUUUAAAAGAAAACCUUACCAUAGUGUUUUUGACGGCCUUCUUUAAAUUAUUUCAUCAUAUGGCACGUUUUUACAUGUUGAAAAAUGACAUUUUUCGACAUAGUAUACUAUGGCGUUUUUUCGCGCCAAAAUUCAUGAUGAUUUUUUUUUUUCAAAGAAA
ensembl:lncRNA